rnacentral:rRNA from 1 species
AGGGAUCAUUACUGAGUUACCGCUCUAUAACCCUUUGUGAACAUACCUAACCGUUGCUUCGGCGGGCAGGGGAAGCCUCUCGCGGGCCUCCCCCUCCCCGGCGCCGGCCCCCACCACGGGGACGGGGCGCCCGCCGGAGGAAACCAAACUCUAUUUACACGACGUCUCUUCUGAGUGGCACAAGCAAAUAAUUAAAACUUUUAACAACGGAUCUCUUGGUUCUGGCAUCGAUGAAGAACGCAGCGAAAUGCGAUAAGUAAUGUGAAUUGCAGAAUUCAGUGAAUCAUCGAAUCUUUGAACGCACAUUGCGCUCGCCAGCAUUCUGGCGAGCAUGCCUGUUCGAGCGUCAUUUCAACCCUCAAGCACCGCUUGGUUUUGGGGCCCCACGGCACACGUGGGCCCUUAAAGGUAGUGGCGGACCCUCCCGGAGCCUCCUUUGCGUAGUAACUAACGUCUCGCACUGGGAUCCGGAGGGACUCUUGCCGUAAAACCCCCAAAUUUUUUACAGGUUGACCUCGGAUCAGGUAGGAAUACCCGCUGAACUUAA